rnacentral:rRNA from 1 species
AUGCUUUCUUCGACAGCAGCAGCUGCAACCUUGCUAUUCCCGUGUAUUUAUAUGCUGACAUGGCAUAGAAAAGGGAGAAGACUAUGGUUUAUCCUUUGCAACAAGUCUAGCAGAAACAAUGAAAAUAAUUACGAGGCCAUGAUAGCAUCCUAUGGAUCCCUAGCUCCAAAACGAUACAUGUACUCGGAUGUAAUGAAGAUAACAUUUUCUCGUAGCAAUGAGCUUGGAAAAGGUGGUUACGGUGUGGUUUUCAAAGGAAGACUUCAUGAUGGUCGUUUAGUUGCUGUGAAAUUCUUGCAUGACUCCAAAGGAAAUAGGAGCGAGUUUGUGAAUGAGGUUAUGAGCAUUGGCAGGACAUCACAUGUUAAUGUUGUUACCUUAUUUGGGUUUUGUUUGGAGGGAUCAAAACGAGCUCUUAUAUAUGAAUACAUGUCGAACAGUUCCUUGGAUAAGUUCAUUUACUCAGAGAACCCCAAAGAAGUUUUAGGGUGGGAGAGGCUCUAUGAAAUAGCACUCGGGAUUGCUCAUGGCCUCCAAUACUUGCACUAUAGCUGUAAUACACGCAUCAUCCAUUUCGAUAUCAAGCCUCAAAAUAUCCUUCUGGACAGUGAUUUUAGCCCCAAAAUUGCUGAUUUUGGUCUGGCUAAACUGUGUCAUAUGAAAGAGAGUAAAGUUUCAAUGACUGGUGGUGCUAGAGGAACAAUUGGAUUCAUUGCCCCAGAAGUUCAUUCUCGAACCUUCGGAGUGGUUUCAACAAAGUCAGAUGUUUAUAGUUAUGGAAUGAUGUUGUUGGAGAUGGUUGGAGGCAGGAGAAAUGUAAAAUCAAUUGUUGAAAAAUCCAGUGAAAAGUAUUUCCCAGAUUGGAUUUAUGACCACUUUUCACAAGAUGAAGGCUUACAGGCAUGUGACGUGACAAGUGAAACUACGGAGAUAGCUAGAAAGAUGACAUUAAUUGGCAUGUGGUGCAUACAGGUAUUACCUAUGUAUCGCCCUACUAUAACACGAGUUCUGGAAAUGUUUGAGAGAAGCUUAGAUGAACUGGAGAUGCCACCACAGCAGAACUUCUGUGAACUCGAUGAAAGUUCAUCUCACAAUAUGGAGGUACAAAGUGCAAGUUCUACCAGUACCAGAUUUGAGAAGAUAAGCCAUGUGAACUCAAAAAACCUACAACGGUUGCCAACU